GAUGAACGCUAGCUACAGGCUUAACACAUGCAAGUCGAGGGGAAACGAUGAGAGAGCUUGCUCUCUUAGUCGUCGACCGGCGCACGGGUGAGUAACGCGUAUCCAACCUGCCUCUGACCAAGGGAUAACCCGUCGAAAGUCGGACUAAUACCUUAUGCAGUCGUCGGAAGUCAUCUGAUGACGACGAAAGAUUUCAUCGGUGAGAGAUGGGGAUGCGUCUGAUUAGCUUGUUGGCGGGGUAACGGCCCACCAAGGCGACGAUCAGUAGGGGUUCUGAGAGGAAGGUCCCCCACAUUGGAACUGAGACACGGUCCAAACUCCUACGGGAGGCGGCAGUGAGGAAUAUUGGUCAAUGGGCGUAAGCCUGAACCAGCCAAGUAGCGUGCAGGAUGACGGCCCUAUGGGUUGUAAACUGCUUUUAUGCGGGGAUAAAGUGAGGGACGUGUCCUUCAUUGCAGGUACCGCAUGAAUAAGGACCGGCUAAUUCCGUG
rnacentral:rRNA from 1 species